rnacentral:rRNA from 1 species
CAGCCGCCGCGGUAAUCCGAAGGGGGCUAGCGUUGUUCGGAAUUACUGGGCGUAAAGGGCGCGUAGGCGGCCAUUCAAGUUAGACGUGAAAGCCCUGGGCUCAACCUAGGAAUUGCAUUUGAUACUGUUUGGCUUGAGUUCGGGAGAGGUGAGUGGAAUUCCCAGUGUAGAGGUGAAAUUCGUAGAUAUUGGGAAGAACACCAGUGGCGAAGGCGGCUCACUGGACCGACACUGACGCUGAGGCGCGAAAGCGUGGGGAGCAAACAGGAUUAGAUACCCCAGUAGUCCCUGUCUCUUAUAC